GACGAACGCUGGCGGCGUGCCUAAUACAUGCAAGUCGAACGCUUCUUUUUCCACCGGAGCUUGCUCCAUCGGAAAAAGAGGAGUGGCGAACGGGUGAGUAACACGUGGGUAACCUGCCCAUCAGAAGGGGAUAACACUUGGAAACAGGUGCUAAUACCGUAUAACAAUCGAAACCGCAUGGUUUUGAUUUGAAAGGCGCUUUCGGGUGUCGCUGAUGGAUGGACCCGCGGUGCAUUAGCUAGUUGGUGAGGUAACGGCUCACCAAGGCGACGAUGCAUAGCCGACCUGAGAGGGUGAUCGGCCACAUUGGGACUGAGACACGGCCCAAACUCCUACGGGAGGCAGCAGUAGGGAAUCUUCGGCAAUGGACGAAAGUCUGACCGAGCAACGCCGCGUGAGUGAAGAAGGUUUUCGGAUCGUAAAACUCUGUUGUUAGAGAAGAACAAGGAUGAGAGUAACUGUUCAUCCCUUGACGGUAUCUAACCAGAAAGCCACGGCUAACUACGUGCCAGCCGCCGCGGUAA
rnacentral:rRNA from 1 species